rnacentral:rRNA from 1 species
AGAGUUUGAUUAUGGCUCAGGACGAACGCUGGCGGCGUGCUUAACACAUGCAAGUCGAACGGAAAGGCCCUGCUUUUGUGGGGUGCUCGAGUGGCGAACGGGUGAGUAACACGUGAGUAACCUGCCCUUGACUUUGGGAUAACUUCAGGAAACUGGGGCUAAUACCGGAUAGGAGCUCCUGCUGCAUGGUGGGGGUUGGAAAGUUUCGGCGGUUGGGGAUGGACUCGCGGCUUAUCAGCUUGUUGGUGGGGUAGUGGCUUACCAAGGCUUUGACGGGUAGCCGGCCUGAGAGGAUGACCGGCCACAUUGGGACUGAGAUACGGCCCAGACUCCUACGGGAGGCAGCAGUGGGGAAUAUUGCACAAUGGGCGGAAGCCUGAUGCAGCAACGCCGCGUGCGGGAUGACGGCCUUCGGGUUGUAAACCGCUUUCGCCUGUGACGAAGCGUGAGUGACGGUAAUGGGUAAAGAAGCACCGGCUAACUACGUGCCAGCAGCCGCGGUGAUACGUAGGGUGCGAGCGUUGUCCGGAUUUAUUGGGCGUAAAGGGCUCGUAGGUGGUUGAUCGCGUCGGAAGUGUAAUCUUGGGGCUUAACCCUGAGCGUGCUUUCGAUACGGGUUGACUUGAGGAAGGUAGGGGAGAAUGGAAUUCCUGGUGGAGCGGUGGAAUGCGCAGAUAUCAGGAGGAACACCAGUGGCGAAGGCGGUUCUCUGGGCCUUUCCUGACGCUGAGGAGCGAAAGCGUGGGGGAGCGAACAGGCUUAGAUACCCUGGUAGUCCACGCUGUAAACGGUGGGUACUAGGUGUGGGGUCCAUUCCACGGGUUCCGUGCCGUAGCUAACGCUUUAAGUACCCCGCCUGGGGAGUACGGCCGCAAGGCUAAAACUCAAAGGAAUUGACGGGGCCCCGCACAAGCGGCGGAGCAUGCGGAUUAAUUCGAUGCAACGCGUAGAACCUUACCUGGGUUUGACAUGGAUCGGGAGUGCUCAGAGAUGGGUGUGCCUCUUUUGGGGUCGGUUCACAGGUGGUGCAUGGCUGUCGUCAGCUCGUGUCGUGAGAUGUUGGGUUAAGUCCCGCAACGAGCGCAACCCUUGUUCACUGUUGCCAGCACGUUAUGGUGGGGACUCAGUGGAGACCGCCGGGGUCAACUCGGAGGAAGGUGGGGAUGACGUCAAGUCAUCAUGCCCCUUAUGUCCAGGGCUUCACGCAUGCUACAAUGGCUGGUACAGAGAGUGGCGAGCCUGUGAGGGUGAGCGAAUCUCGGAAAGCCGGUCUCAGUUCGGAUUGGGGUCUGCAACUCGACCUCAUGAAGUCGGAGUCGCUAGUAAUCGCAGAUCAGCAACGCUGCGGUGAAUACGUUCCCGGGGCUUGUACACACCGCCCGUCAAGUCAUGAAAGUUGGUAACACCCGAAGCCGGUGGCCUAACCGUUGUGGGGGAGCCGUCGAAGGUGGGACUGGUGAUUAGGACUAAGUCGUAACAAGGUAUCC